AAGGGUUCAAACCGUUUUCCAUUUCGGCAGGGGAAAGGCGCAGCCCAGGUGAUGGUCGACGACAAGUCGCUGAUUGCGAUGGCGAGCAGGGAGAGAGAUCGGGAGCUCCUUAUCCCAGUGGAGGACCGCCCCUCCGACGCCGACGAUGACCCUGACGCCAAGGCGUCCUCUUCUUCAGCCGCCGGUCCCUCCGCCUCCGCCCACCUCCACAGCUCGGGUCGAGAGGCCUUUUAUAAAGUUAUACGAAGUUGGGCAUCAAAGAAGUUCAUGACAGGAUGUUUCAUCUUGUUUCCAAUUGCAAUCACCUUUUAUAUCACCUGGUGGUUCAUUCAUUUUGUUGACGGCUUUUUUUCACCAAUCUAUGCUCAACUUGGGAUUAACGUAUUUGGACUUGGUUUUGUGACUUCCAUAACAUUCAUCUUCUUGGUUGGAGUGUUCAUGUCAUCAUGGCUAGGGGCGUCUGUCCUCAGUCUCGGUGAAUGGUUUAUCAAGCGCAUGCCUUUUGUUCGGCAUAUCUACAACGCCUCUAAGCAAAUUAGUUCUGCUGUAUCACCUGACCAGAAUAAACAAGCCUUUAAAGAAGUUGCCGUUAUUAGGCAUCCUCGAGUUGGUGAAUAUGCCUUCGGAUUUAUCACUUCAACUGUUCUUCUUCAGGUCCAUUAUCGCCAUGAAUGCUUAGUUUUGAUAUUUGUUCUAAAAAAAGUCUAUGCUCAUGUUCUCUUGGUGCAAGCAAAUUUACGCACCUCUACUUAGGAGUGGGGAAAAAAAAAACUAAUAUAUCAGCAUUAUCACUACAGAUCAGGUGGAAUAUAUGGGAAUAAAUUAAAUCAGUCAAGCUUAGCUAAUUGCCAUUCUCGCUGGUUAAAAAAGGGUCAAAUAAGUAGAAUGGCAGAAUGAAAACGAAGGCCUGACAAAACAUACAUGGUCGAGAAAGGAGCGAAGGAAGAAAAGUUAAAAACUAGACACGUGUGUGUGUGGAACAAAAAUAUCAAUAUUGGUACCGGCUGAAGCAUCAUAAAAGUAUUUAAUGCCCAUAAUUAUGUAUUGUUUGUGCUAGGGGCGGAUCCAGCGGGAGACAGCAUCGGCGGUCGCCCCUCUUUACCGGCGGUGGAGACCCUAGUAUUAUGGGGUUCUAUCGAUGGAGAUAGAGGAUACUACCUCUUGUUCUAUAGCUACAAUGGUGAGGAGGAACUCUGCUGUGUCUAUGUUCCAACAAACCAUCUCUACAUUGGCGAUAUUUUUCUGGUCAAUUCCAGUGAUGUCAUAAGACCAAAUCUCUCCGUCCGUGAAGGAAUUGAGAUUGUGGUCUCAGGUGGCAUGUCAAUGCCUCAAAUUCUAACAACGCUGCAUGAAAGCCCAGCACUCAAUCGAAGUAGAGCCAGCAGAAGUUGAUACCAAAUGGCACCAUGCCUUGGCAAGUAAACCCUCUUGAUCUUGCACUUCAAAUGCUCAUAUAUUUAACUCUCCCAACAGUGUUUGGUUUAGAUAGGUGGAUAAAAGAUCUGGUGAUAUUAUCUAGAUUUGUGUACUAUUUUGAUCUCACUAAACAUUAUGUUGUAAAUUCUAAUUUCAUGUCUCCAAUCAAUUAGCUGGUUAAGCCAGUUUAGCGUUUA